CGAGAUGUACCGGGUGACUGGAGUUCAGACGUGUGCUCUUCCGAUCUCGCUUAUCUGGUGCCUUCGGGUACCUAGAAGGCGGGUGGAUGCGUGGGACCUGAUCUGGUAGUAGCCAAGCGAUGGGGUGACGCAGGAAGGUAGCUGGGCCAGUCAGUGGUUGUACUGGUGUAAGCCUGUAGGGCGAACGGUAGGCAAAUCCGCCGUUCAUCAAGCCUGAGAGGUGAUGCGUAGCCGAUUGAGGCGAAUUCAGUGAUCCUAUGCUGCCGAGAAAAGCCUCUAGUGAGUUGUUACACGGCCCGUACCCCAAACCGACACAGGUGGUCAGGUAGAGAAUACUAAGGCGAUCGAGAUAACUAUGGUUAAGGAACUCGGCAAAAUGCCCCCGUAACUUCGGGAGAAGGGGGGCCCCUGCCGGUGAUCACUCUUGCAGUGUGAGCUGGUGUGGGCCGCAGAGACCAGUGAGAAGCGACUGUUUACUAAAAACACAGGUCCGUGCGAAGUCGUAAGACGAUGUAUACGGACUGACGCCUGCCCGGUGCUGGAAGGUUAAGAGGACCGGUUAGCCGCAAGGCGAAGCUGAGAAUUUAAGCCCCAGUAAACGGCGGUGGUAACUAUAACCAUCCUAAGGUAGCGAAAUUCCUUGUCGGGUAAGUUCCGACCUGCACGAAUGGCGUAACGACUUCUCAGCUGUCUCAACCAUAGACUCGGCGAAAUUGCAUUACGAGUAAAGAUGCUCGUUACGCGCGGCAGGACGAAAAGACCCCGGGACCUUCACUACAGCUUGGUAUUGGUGUUCGGUUCGGUUUGUGUAGGAUAGGUGGGAGACUGUGAAGCGGUGACGCCAGUUACUGUGGAGUCGUUGUUGAAAUACCACUCUGAUCGUAUUGGAUACCUCAACCUCGGACCAUGAUCUGGUUCAGGGACAGUGCCUGGUGGGUAGUUUAACUGGGGCGGUUGCCUCCUAAAAUGUAACGGAGGCGCCCAAAGGUUCCCUCAGCCUGGUUGGCAAUCAGGUGUCGAGUGCAAGUGCACAAGGGAGCUUGACUGUGAGACUGACAAGUCGAGCAGGGACGAAAGUCGGGACUAGUGAUCCGGCACCGGCAAGUGGAAGCGGUGUCGCUCAACGGAUAAAAGGUACCCCGGGGAUAACAGGCUGAUCUUCCCCAAGAGUCCAUAUCGACGGGAUGGUUUGGCACCUCGAUGUCGGCUCGUCGCAUCCUGGGGCUGGAGUAGGUCCCAAGGGUUGGGCUGUUCGCCCAUUAAAGCGGUACGCGAGCUGGGUUUAGAACGUCGUGAGACAGUUCGGUCCCUAUCCUCUGUAGCCGGAAGAGAUUUGAGGAAAGCUGCCCCUAGUACGAGAGGACCGGGGUGGACGAAGCUCUCGUGUGCCAGUUGUCCUGCCAAGGGCAUGGCUGGUUGGCGACCUUCGGACGGGAUAACCGCUGAAAGCAUCUAAGUGGGAAGCCCAUUCCAAGAUGAGAUCUCUCACUGGGUUAACCAGGUAAGGCCCGUGGAAGAACACCACGUUGAUAGGCCGGAAGUGUACGCACGGUAACGUGUUUAGCUGACCGGUACUAAUCAAAGAUCGGAAGAGC
rnacentral:rRNA from 1 species